CAGCUGCCUGCUGGCCCGGCUGCCUCGUGAAGAGAGCCAGAGAGCCGCUCCCCGCCCAGCAGCGGAAGUCAACCAAAGGCACAGGAGAAGGCGCUCAACUCUUCUGCCUGGGCCCAGCUCCAGCCUCGGGGCCUCGGGGAGACCCCAUCUGACUUCUGUGAGGCAGACCAGCCCCAGUGGGGCCCGUUCAGGGCAGUGGCCCAGGAUGGCUUCCAACUGGCACCAGCCCCCUUCCUCAGCUCCCGCGUGCUGGAUCACAGAUGUGGGAACUGAGGUCCACAAAGAUUCCAGCCCAGCUUGUGUUCCUAGGUAAGGAUGGACUCUUUCUACCCCUUAAAUUCCUUUUAUAAGCAAUAAAAGAGCCAGGUUGGACUCUUUCUACCCCUUAAAUUCCUUUUAUAAGCAAUAAAAGAGCCAGGUGGAGUCCAGAGCCACACAGCUUUUUCCAUAAAGGAUGAGCUAAGCCAGGGAUAAAGGGAUAAAGGGAUAAAGCUCAGCAGCACAGCGCCUGCCUGGCAAGUGUGAGGUCGUGAGUUUGAUUCCUGGUAUGAAAGAAAAAAACAACACAAAACAGAAGAUAGUGAGGGCGGGAUGGUGUGAUGGAUUGAAAACUGGCCCUAAACAGCAGCUGAAGUGAAUCAGCGCGGCGCAGAGGGUUCCGGCCCACCUGAGGACUGCUGGAGCCGAAGAGUUGUUGUUUGGUGCUGUUGGUUCUGUUGCUGUGGGAGCUUCUUCCCUGAUAUGAAGUCAGCUGUUCUCACCAUCGGAGGAGCUCGGGACCUUGUUGUCGCUGAGAGUGGCUGUGGUUCACCUUGGGGGAGCUCUGGUCGUCACUUUGAGUAUCGCUUCCUGGGUCUGCAGGGGGAGAAGCUUGCCACGCUGGCGUCCUGACAUGAACUCAGCUGUUCCCAGUGUUAGAGGAGCUCAGGACCUCAGUGUCACUGAGGAUGGCUGUGGUACUUUUGGGGGGAGCCCUGGUCCUUUGGGUAUUGCUUCCUGGCUCCAGUGCAGAACCCUCAGCCUGCUGGCACAGAUCCUUCACCCCACUGGCAUAGACUUUUUGGCUUCCACCGCUGGCCUUUGGGCCUUCCCAGUGCAGAUCCCUGAAAGAGACUUGUAUGAGUCUUGUUGGGAGCUCUAGGCCUCCAGCUGGACACAUGGGGGCAUUAUCAUGGGCUCUAGGUCUUCAACUGGACCCAUGCAGGACAUCGCUGUGGGAUCCAGGCCCUCAGUUGGAUUCCUUGGGUCUCAGUGUAUGGACAGAUUUCUUUGAAUUUGACUCAGGUGACUAUUGUGACAUUUACAAUUACGUGUGCUGUAUUUUCUUGUUCUCCUUGCAAAACCUUGACUACAACAGACAGUAAAUAUUUUAGGCUUGUGGGUCCUGGGCAUCUUGGUGAUGAUGGUUGUCCUCUGCUGUUGGGUGUAAAGGCAGAAACAAUCUAUAAAUGAUGAAUGAGCACAGGUGUACCAAUAAAGCUUUAUUUACAAAAA